ACCUCAGAACUAACUGCCAGCGGCCACUUGCCUGUCCCAACAGAAUUUAACGGAAGCUGCCAACAGCCCUCCUCUGACCUCAUUGGAUAGAACCUACCGUGCCAGCAGAUACCAACUCCUCUCUCUUUCUUCUGACAUAGCCUGUCCACUGUCUCGGAGUAGGCAGUCCUCUUGUGUGGAGUGCAAGCAUCAGACAGAGAAGGAGUUAGUUAUUCAUUUAUUCCCGAGGGGGACCCAUUUGACCUAUAACAAGUAUACAAAUGAUCCCAAUAUACGAGAGGCUAGUGAGAGUGGGCAAAGAGCAAAGAGAUUAAAAAAAGAAGUGCUUUAGCCAGGGCUAUCUGUCCAUCCUCCAGCUUCAUCCAGCUUUGUUGACUUUCCUGCUGAGAGAAGUGGGAACCAGUUUGAGUCAGAUGAAUAUAUGUCUUCUUCUCCCUAGAGAUCUAGUAGCCUCGCUGGAGGCAGAUGAAAGUAUUCAUUACUUGUAAACCUUUAGGAAUCAGUUCCCUUUGGAAGGCAGUGAGUGGCACACAUCUGGGGAAAUGUGUAUAGAAAGAGUAAAAUUAGCAGAAGAAAAACUCUGGGAUCCAGGGUUUGGUUUUGUUAAGACAGAGCCAUCUGGGAGGAUGGAGAUGUAACUCUUGUUUAGAAUUAGCUUUGAAAGGUAGACUUCAUGAUGACAAAGCUGAUGUCCUGAGAGUGUCUCCUUAGUAAUUUGCUUGGGCGAGAACACGUGUGCUUUCUCUCUCUCUCUCUCUCUCUCUCUCUCUCUCUCUCUCACAUACACACACACACACAAGCACUGGUACAUGGGUGUCCAUAUCUUGUUCUUAUGAAGCUUUCUGUCCAGGCUGGAGAUUUAUGAGGUAGAUUAAAAUAUCAAGGAAGGUUAUAGUUGCUUUUUCUCCAUAACCCAAAGAAGUUGGACUUCCACGAAAUUCUAGUGAGGGCUUCAAAGCAGCAUAAAGGGAAAGCACUGGUUUUAACUUUUCCUCUUGGCUCAGCUAAGCAUAUACUCUAGGAGAGCUUUGUUCUGAAAAGAUUCUUUAGUGGCGGCUAAGGGGGAGACUAGCCAGGAGAAGAGAUGUCAGUUAUGAAGAGUUGUUUCCCCUCCCCCCCAGGAGAGAUGUUCUUUACACAAGACCCUGGUGUGGCUUGUGCGCAUUCUUUCCUAGAGGAAAGAAUUCUUCCUAGCAGGGUGAUAGGUUCUUCUUGAUGAGACCCACCACCUACUGCUUCAUUUGCUGUAGACAUGGGAUGGAGCAGACGGAGGCCCCAUCUGUCGCACUGUUGAUCUUGGCUCUUGAGCCAAAUGAAGACAUGGGGUGGAUCCCUCAAUGCUGGGGGCGGGGGGCACUGUGAACAGUGAGUGUCUUUGGUUUAGGAGCACAAAACAAAACAGAGGUCACAGUAGAAGGAGUGGACCACAUUUCACCUCUUUAAGCCAUAAAGGGGGAAGAAUGCCACUGACAAAGGGAUGUCUUUUGUUUCCUUAGCCACAGGUGCUGGCAACAAAGUAUACUGAAGCCACACUAUUUCUCCUCUUCAACUCAUGAGACAGGCGUUUCACUUUUUGGUGUAUUUCGGAAAGAUUAAGGUCUGCAGCAGGGAGAAUCCCAGCCACAGAAGACAGUUUAGAUUUACCUGAAAAAUGUCCAUCCCAGGAGAAGACAGUUCUUGGCUAUGGCGAGCAGCAGCUGUGCUUGGAGUCUAUGGAUACAGAUCACAGAAGGACUUGGAAAUAUCAAAACCUGUUGUCUAGCAUUUGGGAACACUUGGGGCUCUGGAAAGAUGGCCACUGAAAAGCACCACAAAUCUUAAUGGCUCUCCAGAAUCUUCUCAGCACUGAGGCUCCUGCUAUGGACAUGCCUCUCAGACAGGCUUGUAACUGGGAUGUCAUGGACCUUCUGCCUCCAGAUCCUGAUCUCAGUUUUGAAUACAGUGUAUGCUUUUGCACCUGACCUUAGGGCAGAGAAGGGAAGAAAGGUGGAGUUUUUGUCUUUUGAGGAUUCAGGCUCUUCCUCUAGAUAUUAGUGUGGUUAAGGUUUGAAAAUCUAUACUAAGACAAUAUUACUUUGGGGAAAACAUCACAUGGGAAUAAAAGCUCCCGUUCUCA